GAGAAGCCCGAGGCUUUUAUGCCUUGAAGUUUCUACGAAUCAACUCAUGUUUUUUAUACCAAACAUGGCGCCUUUCGAGUGUUUUGUGUAGAUCGAGUGUUGAGCCAACGAUUUUAAGAUCAUCUCCAGAGAGCUGCCGCCAUCUCCAAACCCGUUUUGGCUUUGCCGUCCUAGUCCAGUAUGAGGGAGAUUGAGGCAUUGUGGGAGGAAGCUAGGGAGCUGAGUCUGGGGACCUCCGGGGGAGUAGAGAGGCUAGACUCUCCCCCAACCCCUCUCCAAUUCCUCAGAGACUUCGUGUCCCCUAACAAGCCCUGUGUUAUCUCCAACGCCACUCUUCACUGGCCCGCGCUCUCCGCCUGGUCCCACGAUUCCUACCUCACUCGAGCCCUCUCCUCUGCUCAUGUCUCCCUCCACCUUACCCCCAAUGGCCGAGCCGACGCUGCCGUCCCCAUAAAUUCCGAUGACCCAUCUACCCUCUGCUUCGCCUCCGCACACGCCCUGCGCAUGCCCUUCCCGGAAGCUCUUAAUCUCAUCGUCAAUCCCCAUUCCACCAAUUUCGUGGCGUAUGCCCAGCAGCAGAACGACUGCUUCCGGUCCGAGUACUCGGCGCUGGCUCAGGACUGCGACGCUCACAUCCCUUGGGCCACCGACGCCCUCGGAUGCCUCCCCGAAGCUGUUAAUCUUUGGGUUGGCAACCAUCUCUCCGAGACCUCUUUCCACAAGGACCACUACGAGAAUCUCUACGCCGUCGUUUCCGGUGAGAAACAUUUCCUGCUGCUUCCUCCCACCGAUGUUCAUCGUAUGUACAUCCGCAACUACCCUGCCGCGCGUUAUAUUUAUUCCCAGGACACCGGAAAGUUUACAUUAGAGCCUGAGAAGCCAAUGAGAUGUGUGCCUUGGUGCAGUGUGGAUCCGUAUCCUUCUUCGAAGGCUAAACAUAGUGCGAUGUCCAGAUUCCCCUUGUAUUUCAACGGCCCAAAACCCUUUGAGUGUACGAUCAAGGCUGGAGAGAUUCUUUACUUGCCAAGUAUGUGGUUUCAUCAUGUUAGACAGAGUCCAGAUGCUGCAGGGCGGACUAUUGCAAUAAACUACUGGUAUGAUAUGCAGUUUGAUAUCAAGUACGCCUAUUUCAACUUCUUGCAAUCAGUUCCUUACCAAUCUACCCAUAAUCCAAUAUUGCCUGGAACAAUGUCUGAUGACUUGGAUUUGGAUUCAGACUGUGAUUCAUUUGCAUAUGGCUUUAAGGAUAAAUUAGGUGUUGAUGAAUCUGUGACAAAUUUACUCAAUGCCAGUGCUAAAGAAGAAUGAGGUCUGAUUUGUUAGUUUGGGUGCUAGAAUGUUGACGUGUGAUCCUCCCGGAAUGGAGAGAGAGAUCCUAGAAAGAAGAGAUUGCGGAGUUUUUGAAGCAAGAGAAAGCAUGCUAAUCUGAGUAAGAUGUUCUUUUGACCAGAGCUUGCAUACUGGACUAGUCAUUAACAUGCAUCAAGAUGAUGGCUCACUCACCAUGGAUUUCCUCUCCUGGAUUUUCAUGUUUUACCAUCCUUAUGAUGCAUAGCCGCAUCAAACAAGCAUGGAGUUUGUUGCCCUGUUUAGCUUUCCUAGAAACAGGUGGAGCUUGCGUGCGUGUUCUGUUCUUAUGAAAUCAUAUUGGGUGUUAAUUGGAAGAAAUUCAAUAGGUAAAAGAACGGCUUCAGAGCAUAAUAUAUGUAAAUAUUUUUUCGUCUCUAUAAAGUUGUUCGUUUUCCAGAAAAAACAAAUCAUAACAUGUUAGAUGGUUUG